rnacentral:rRNA from 1 species
CAGUGGGGAAUUUUGGACAAUGGGCGCAAGCCUGAUCCAGCCAUGCCGCGUGCAGGAUGAAGGCCUUCGGGUUGUAAACUGCUUUUGUACGGAACGAAAAGGUUUCUUUUAAUACAGGGAACUGAUGACGGUACCGUAAGAAUAAGCACCGGCUAACUACGUGCCAGCAGCCGCGGUAAUACGUAGGGUGCGAGCGUUAAUCGGAAUUACUGGGCGUAAAGCGUGCGCAGGCGGUAAUGUAAGACAGAGGUGAAAUCCCCGGGCUCAACCUGGGAACUGCCUUUGUGACUGCAUUGCUGGAGUGCGGCAGAGGGGGAUGGAAUUCCGCGUGUAGCAGUGAAAUGCGUAGAUAUGCGGAGGAACACCGAUGGCGAAGGCAAUCCCCUGGGCCUGCACUGACGCUCAUGCACGAAAGCGUGGGGAGCAAACAGGAUUAGAUACCCUGGUAGUCCACGCCCUAAACG